rnacentral:rRNA from 1 species
UGGGGAAUAUUGGACAAUGGGCGCAAGCCUGAUCCAGCCAUGCCGCGUGAGUGAUGAAGGCCCUAGGGUUGUAAAGCUCUUUCACCGGUGAAGAUAAUGACGGUAACCGGAGAAGAAGCCCCGGCUAACUUCGUGCCAGCAGCCGCGGUAAUACGAAGGGGGCUAGCGUUGUUCGGAAUUACUGGGCGUAAAGCGCACGUAGGCGGACAUUUAAGUCAGGGGUGAAAUCCCGGGGCUCAACCCCGGAACUGCCUUUGAUACUGGGUGUCUAGAGUUCGAGAGAGGUGAGUGGAAUUCCGAGUGUAGAGGUGAAAUUCGUAGAUAUUCGGAGGAACACCAGUGGCGAAGGCGGCUCACUGGCUCGAUACUGACGCUGAGGUGCGAAAGCGUGGGGAGCAAAACAGGAUUAGAUACCCUGGUAGUCCACGCCGUAAACGAUGGAAGCCAGCUGUCGGCAAGUUUACUUGUCGGUGGCGCAGCUAACGCAUUAAGCUUCCCGCCUGGGGAGUACGGUCGCAAGAUUAAAACUCAAAGGAAUUGACGGGGUCAUAGCUGUUUCCUG